rnacentral:rRNA from 1 species
GGUUGCGAUCAUACCAGCACUAAUGCACCGGAUCCCAUCAGAACUCCACAGUUAAGCGUGCUUGGGCGAGAGUAGUACUAGGAUGGGUGACCCCUGGGAAGUCCUCGUGUUGCAACCC